rnacentral:tRNA from 1 species
GCCAGCGUCGCAUAACUCGGUAGUGCGGCAGAAAUAAAUACCGAAUCUCGAAUCGAGUUAAAGACAACUGCUCCCUCUGGGAUUCUCGGUUCAAAUCCGAGCGCUGGCG